CGAAGGGGGCUAGCGUUGUUCGGAAUCACUGGGCGUAAAGCGCACGCAGGCGGAUCGUUAAGUCAGGGGUGAAAUCCCGAGGCUCAACCUCGGAACUGCCUUUGAUACUGGCGAUCUUUGAGUCCGGGAGAGGUGAGUGGAACUCCGAGUGUAGAGGUGAAAUUCGUAGAUAUUCGGAAGAACACCAGUGGCGAAGGCGGCUCACUGGCCCGGUACUGACGCUCAGGUGCGAAAGCGUGGGGGAGCAAACAGGAUUAGAUACCCUGGUAGUCCACGCCGUAAACGAUGAAUGCUAGCCGUCGGUGAGCUUGCUCUUCGGUGGCGCAGCUAACGCAAUAAGCAUUCCGCCUGGGGAGUACGGUCGCAAGACUA
rnacentral:rRNA from 1 species